UACGAAGGGGGCGAGCGUUGUUCGGAUUUACUGGGCGUAAAGAGCGCGCAGGCGGUCGUUCAAGUCGAGUGUGAAAGCCCCCGGCUCAACUGGGGAGGGUCAUUCGAUACUGAUCGACUCGAAGGCAGGAGAGGGAAGUGGAAUUCCCGGUGUAGUGGUGAAAUGCGUAGAUAUCGGGAGGAACACCAGUGGCGAAGGCGACUUCCUGGCCUGUUCUUGACGCUGAGGCGCGAAAGCUAGGGGAGCAAACGGG
rnacentral:rRNA from 1 species